UACGUAGGGUGCAAGCGUUGUCCGGAAUUAUUGGGCGUAAAGAGCUCGUAGGCGGUCUGUCACGUCUGCUGUGAAAACUCGGGCUAACCCCGGGCCUGCAGUGGGUACGGGCAGACUAGAGUGCGGUAGGGGAGACUGGAAUUCCUGGUGUAGCGGUGAAAUGCGCAGAUAUCAGGAGGAACACCGGUGGCGAAGGCGGGUCUCUGGGCCGUAACUGACGCUGAGGAGCGAAAGCGUGGGGAGCGAACAGG
rnacentral:rRNA from 1 species